CAGAAGCAGAGGCUCAGUCAGCGACCGCCCUCCACCUGCAGCCCCUCAGAGUCCCAUCCUGCAAGCAGAAGCACCCCUGGGCUGAAGCAGGAGUGGCUGCCCCACGCCACAUGACAGAUCCGCAGGCCCCCUGCGACCCCUCUGACGCGCGCUUGUUCCUCCCCGAGCUCCGCGAUCCCCCCGCCUACCGGGGAAGGAGACCUCGGCGUCGCUGUCCUGUCCCUCCUGAACGCUGUCCUUAUCCGACUUGGAGCCGCCGCGAGAGCGCUUCAUGUUGCGGAAAUACUGUCCCCAGCGCUGC